CGAACGCUGGCGGCGUGCCUAAUACAUGCAAGUCGAGCGCAGGAAGUCAUCCGAACCCUUCGGGGGGACGUUGACGGAAUGAGCGGCGGACUGGUGAGUAACACGUAAAGAGCCUGCCCUCAGGUCUGGGAUAACCACGAGAAAUCGGGGCUAAUACCGGAUGGGUCAUCGGACCGCAUGGUCCGAGGAUGAGAGGCGCUCCGGCGUCGCCUGGGGAUGGCUUUGCGGUGCAUUAGCUAGUUGGUGGGGUAACGGCCCACCAAGGCGACGAUGCAUAGCCGACCUGAGAGGGUGAUCGGCCACACUGGGACUGAGACACGGCCCAGACUCCUACGGGAGGCAGCAGUAGGGAAUCUUCCACAAUGGACGAAAGUCUGAUGGAGCAACGCCGCGUGAACGAUGAAGGCCCUCGGGUCGUAAAGUUCUGUUGUAAGGGAAGAACAAGUGCCGCAGGCAAUGGCGGCACCUUGACGGUACCUUGCGAGAAAGCCACGGCUAACUACGUGCCAGCAGCCGCGGUAAUACGUAGGUGGCAAGCGUUGUCCGGAAUUAUUGGGCGUAAAGCGCGCGCAGGCGGCCUCUUAAGUCUGAUGUGAAAGCCCCCGGCUCAACCGGGGAGGGCCAUUGGAAACUGGGAGGCUUGAGUAUAGGAGAGAAGAGUGGAAUUCCACGUGUAGCGGUGAAAUGCGUAGAGAUGUGGAGGAACACCAGUGGCGAANGCGACUCUUUGGCCUAUAACUGACGCUGAGGCGCGAAAGCGUGGGGGAGCAAACAGGANUAGAUACCCUGGUAGUCCACGCCGUAAACGAUGAGUGCUAGGUGUUGGANGGU
rnacentral:rRNA from 1 species